UUUUGUAUAAUGGGUCAGCGACUUAUAUUCUGUAGCAAGGUUAACCGAAUAGGGGAGCCGAAGGGAAACCGAGUCUUAACUGGGCGUUAAGUUGCAGGGUAUAGACCCGAAACCCGGUGAUCUAGCCAUGGGCAGGUUGAAGGUUGGGUAACACUAACUGGAGGACCGAACCGACUAAUGUUGAAAAAUUAGCGGAUGACUUGUGGCUGGGGGUGAAAGGCCAAUCAAACCGGGAGAUAGCUGGUUCUCCCCGAAAGCUAUUUAGGUAGCGCCUCGUGAAUUCAUCUCCGGGGGUAGAGCACUGUUUCGGCAAGGGGGUCAUCCCGACUUACCAACCCGAUGCAAACUGCGAAUACCGGAGAAUGUUAUCACGGGAGACACACGGCGGGUGCUAACGUCCGUCGUGAAGAGGGAAACAACCCAGACCGCCAGCUAAGGUCCCAAAGUCAUGGUUAAGUGGGAAACGAUGUGGGAAGGCCCAGACAGCCAGGAUGUUGGCUUAGAAGCAGCCAUCAUUUAAAGAAAGCGUAAUAGCUCACUGGUCGAGUCGGCCUGCGCGGAAGAUGUAACGGGGCUAAACCAUGCACCGAAGCUGCGGCAGCGACGCUUAUGC
rnacentral:rRNA from 1 species